CGGAGCUCCGCCGCCACCCAAGAGGGGUGGGGGAAGUUCCUUUUUCUCUUCGCCUGGUUGCGGUGGCCGGAGAGGGAUGCGGACUCAACAGAAAUGGUAGGGGCAAGUGCGAGGGGCCGGGCCUAAACCAGGCCGGGAGGAGGGUACAGCAACACUGAUCCCACGAGCACGUCCGCUGCAGCGAAUUCUCGGGAACUCACAGCUCUACAGACGCAGUCCCCAGCCCGCCACAGCGAGUCCCUGCCCAGCCGAGGUCUCUCGGAGCUCCGCCGCCGCCAUCAGCCUCUUCCUCCUCGGCGCUGUCCUCCUCCUUCUCAUCGCCACAAGGAGGCGGGGGCGAAAAAAGGGGGAGAGGAGGAGGCGACCAGAGACACUCACCUCCUCCCGGUGCCCCCUCCCGGGCUUGCGCCCCCACCCUGCGAGCCCUCCUCCUCCUCCUGCCGCUGCGCUCUGCGCCGCUGCUGCCGCACCGGCCCCUAAUGGCCGCACUGAGCUCACCCGAGCCGAGAGCCAGACUGGCGCCGGAGCCACCUCACAUCGCGCAGCGGACAGCGGAGGCGCGGCGACGAAGCCGAGCGUGGAGCUCGCCGGCCCGAAGGGCCAGGGGGGCCGGGCCGAGCAGGGCGGCCCGCCCGCAAGCCCGCGCCGACGCCAAGCCCACCGACGCGGCCUCUCCGCGCGCCGCGCUCUCCGCCUCCACUCGCAAGCCCGUGGAGGAGAAAUAAGUACGGCCGCCUCUCUGGCCCUCACGCCCGGCAGCCAGGUGCUGGGAGCUCCCGCCCCCCCCCGGGGGCUCGGCUCGGGGGCCGCCCUGGACGGCGGGCGAAGGCGCCGCGGGGCGCGGGGUUAUGUAAUGGUCCCCCCUUAGGCGUCGACGCCGGCCCGGGCUGCAGUGGGGGUGUGUGCGGGCAGGAGGGGGCUAGGGGUCGCCUCAGCCUUUGCGCCCCGGGCCCCCAACCACUGUCUCGGUCGCGGCCGCUGCU
rnacentral:lncRNA from 1 species